rnacentral:rRNA from 1 species
AAGAAUGGCCAUAUCACCAUAAAUACACUCAAUCUUGUCUGAUCUUGAAAACUAAGCAGGGUCAGGCCUGGUUAGUACUUGGAUUGGAGACUGCCUGGGAAUACUGGGCGCUGUAGUGU